UUUCGCCUGGGAAAGGAAGGCAGAAGGUCCCGUGCUUUGCCCAUAUUUACAUAUUUAUGAAUGAAUAGCCCAAAUAUUGUGAGGAAAUGCUGCUAGUUUGUGUAGAAUAGCUGGAAUUCCCUCACAUAAACGUUGCAGGAUUCAGGAUUCCUGUGUAGACAAGCACGACAGUGGAACUUCCAAAUUUCCUGGUCACAGUUCAUUGAAGGAUCGAGAAACACAGUGUGUGAACGUAAGGCUGCAGCUGUUCCCAGCACAUACAUUGUGGAAUUAACCGCAAAAUCUUGCAGCGGGUUGGAUUUGUUCUCCAACACUCCCCAACACAAUGUGACAAAAUUUAUGGCAGAUGUACACAGACUCUCAUCACUAUGGUUUGGAGUUAGCUUGCUCUCUAGAAAUCAGCAUUUGUACAUCAGGCUCUACGAUGAAAUGGAAUUAAUCUGAAGGACGAGGCGGAAACAGUUCCAACUUUGUUGUCUCCACUCUGGAAACAAGGUCAGACUUUGAUUUACAGUAUGCAUAUGGAAAUAAUUGUGUGCCCUUGAUGCUGAGCUCCAAACUGUCAUUGCGUCAAAUUGUGUGAGAGGCCUUACACUAAGCAUCUGGAGAAGAAAAGUCCUUUGCCAAACUGUUUGCAUGACAGCGGCCUCUGGAAAGCGGCCAGUGAGUGAGUGGGCCAGUGAAGGAGUGGAGAUUUGAGGCUUUGACUCGAGAGAUUCUGGCAGUUUUGGCAGUUGGACUGUGCAAUCAAGUCAAUCAGGAUUUGAAUAGUUCAGCAGAAAGCCAUUGAUUAGACAAUCAAGAUUUGAAUAGUUCAGACUCAGCAGAAAGCAGCUGAUUGGGCAAUCAGGUGACCAAGCAGUUUGAAAAGCUCAAACAAAUAAAUAGAGGGAUACCUCAAGUGGAGUGGCCAGUGAAGGAGUGGAGAUUUGAGGCUUUGACUCGAGAGGCUUCAACGAGAAGAGGCUGAGGACGAGCUUCACUCCAAGUGAGGUAAGACCAGGCAUAUUCAAUAAAUGCAAGAAGGAAGGUGAAUUAGUGCCAAAUCAGGUACAGACAGAUAAAUAACUACAAGGAAAAGAGCGAGAUGUAAAGGAAGGAAAUUUUUAAAGAGUUUACCAAUGGAAUGAGACCCUGGAGUUCUAGUUUUCUAUCUUUCACAGCUACAUGGUAUGAAUAUAACUUAUUGAAAGCGGGACCUACAUUGUUCUAUUCCAGCCUGAAUUUUUUCUGUGAGUUUAAUGGACAACUAAUAUGUAACUAUGAAAUUCAUGGAGCAUGAAGCGGAAUUGACAUAAUUGGAAUGCAUGUGACAAAGGGUCACAAUUGUUGGGUUUACAGUCUUUGUAUGAGUUACACAUUAACAAGAGCAAGUGUUAUUAAAGUCAUCCAUACUUUGAUGGUAGAUCCUGGGGCCAAGUACUUUCCCUUGCAAUAUGGGUUCAAUAAUUGAACUCCUGGUCAAGAGAAAUACGUAUAACAUUUAAAAAAUUAUUUUACACACCUCUUUA